UGCUCUUAUUUCUCUUCACAUCGUAUAAAUCUUUCGCCUUUUACUAAAGAUUUCCGUGGAGAGGAACAGAAAGAGUUUCGUCCAAUUUUUUGAUGCCCGACGUCAGUCGGGUU
ensembl:snRNA U5 U5 spliceosomal RNA